UGUUGCUGAUUUAAUAUUGCAGUGUGCAAUUGUCCAGCUUUCUGUGCUCAUACCAUCUGCCAGUAAAGAGGCAAUCAACCUCGUCUCGGAUUUUAAUCAAUUGUGCUUGAAUUUAGGCCUACAAGCACUUCAACCUUUUAAUGCCACUCGUGCUAUGAGUAGACCAUAUAGAGGAUUUGUUUUUAUUUAUUUAUUUAUUCGAGACCAUUUUUAAUUUACUGUAAUAAAUAUUAUAUUUUUUAAUUAUGAAGUAAUAUAAAUUUUAUUUAAUAUUCAGUUUUAA